AUGGACUGGGAUGGACUGGUCCAUACAGGUCUGAACUGGUCUGCAUUGGUCUGUACGGGUCCAUACUGGUUUAUACUGGUUUGUACUGGUCCAUACUGGUUUAUACUGGUCCCUACAGGUCCAUACUGGUUUAUACUGGUUUAUACUGUCCGUACUGGUCUAUACUGGUUUGUACUGGUCCAUACUGGUCUAUACCGAUCUGUACAGGUCUAUACUGGUCUAUACUGGUCCAUACUAGUCUAUACGGGUUUAUACCAGUCCACACUGAUCUAUACUGGUUUAUACUGGUCCGUACUGGUCCAUACAGGUCCAUACCAUACUGGUCUAUACUGGUCUGUACUGCUCCAUACUGGUUUAUACUGUCUGUACUGGUCCAUACUGGUCCAUACUGGUCUAUACUGGUCUGUACAGGUCCAUACUGGUCUAUACUGGUCUGUACAGGUCCAUACUGGUCUAUACUGGUCCAUACUGGUCCAUACUGGUCCAUACUGGUCCAUACUGGUUUAUACUGUCCAUACUGGUCCAUACUGGUCUGUACUGGUCCAUACAGGUCCCUACUGGUUUAUACUGGUCUGUACUGAUCCAUACAGGUCCAUACAGGCCAUACUGGUCUGUACUGGUCCAUACUGGUCCAUACUGGUCCGUACUGGUCCAUACAGGUCCAUACUGGUCCAUACUGGUCCGUACCGGUCCAUACUGGUCCAUACUGGUCCAUACUGGUCCAUACUGGUCCGUACUGGUCCAUACAGGUCCAUACUGGUCCAUACUGGUCCGUACCGGUCCAUACUGGUCCAUACUGGUCCGUACUGGUUUAUACUGGUCCAUACUGGGACUCACCGUGCCGCCCUCGGGCCGGGCUCCCCAGCACCAGCGCUGCAGCCGGGGGGGCUUGUGGGGGGGGUCUGGGGACAGAGGGGACACGGUCAGAGGGGGGGGACAGCGGGGACACCCCAGGGGACACCAGGUGACAUUGGGGACAACCCAGGGGACAUUUGGGGACACCCCAGGGGACACCAGGGGACAUUGGGGACACCCCCAGGUGACAUCAGGGACACCCCCAGGUGACAUCGGGGACACCCCAGGUGACAUCGGGGACACCCACAGGUGACAUUUGGGACCCCCCAGGUGACAUUGGGGACACCCACAGAUGACAUUUG
rnacentral:lncRNA from 1 species